UGGUGUGUUGCAAUGCCCUGAAGGUA
rnacentral:piRNA from 1 species